rnacentral:tRNA from 1 species
GCCUUCGUGGUGUAACAGUAGCACACUCGAAUCGCAUUCGAGAGGUCCAAGUUCGAGUCCCAGCGAAGGCA